rnacentral:rRNA from 1 species
AAGCUCCUACGGGGCGCAGCAGUGGGGGAUAUUGGACAAUGGGGGGAACCCUGAUCCAGCGACGCCGCGUGAGUGAAGAAGUAUUUCGGUAUGUAAAGCUCUGUCAGCAGGGAAGAAAGAAAUGACGGUACCUGACUAAGAAGCCCCGGCUAACUACGUGCCAGCAGCCGCGGUAAUACGUAGGGGGCAAGCGUUAUCCGGAUUUACUGGGUGUAAAGGGAGCGUAGGCGGCGAUACAAGUCAGAAGUAAAAGCCCGGGGCUCAACUCCGGGACUGCUUUUGAAACUGUAUGGCUAGAUUGCAGG